AACGAACGCUGGCGGCGUGCUUAACACAUGCAAGUCGAACGCGAACGGGUUCUUCGGGACCUUAGUAGAGUGGCGCACGGGUGAGUAACGCGUAAGUUAUCUACCUCGGCAUCUGGAAUAACUCACCGAAAGGUGUGCUAAUACCGGAUACGUUGAGUAAUCAAGAAAGGUGGCCUCUCUUUGAUGCUACCGUGCUGAGAUGAGCUUGCGUACCAUUAGCUAGUUGGUGGGGUAAUGGCCUACCAAGGCGACGAUGGUUAGCGGGUCUGAGAGGAUGAUCCGCCACACUGGAACUGGAACACGGACCAGACUCCUACGGGAGGCAGCAGUGAGGAAUAUUGCGCAAGGGGGGCAACCCUGACGCAGCGACGCCGCGUGGAUGAUGAAGGCCUUCGGGUCGUAAAAUCCUGUCAGGUGGAAAGAAAUGUAUAUGUGCUAAUACCAUGUAUACUUGACGGUACCACCGAAGGAAGCACCGGCUAACUCCGUGCCAGCCGCCGCAGUAAAAC
rnacentral:rRNA from 1 species